AUUGAACGCUGGCGGCAUGCCUUACACAUGCAAGUCGAACGGUAACAGGUCUUCGGAUGCUGACGAGUGGCGAACGGGUGAGUAAUACAUCGGAACGUGCCCGAUCGUGGGGGAUAACGGAGCGAAAGCUUUGCUAAUACCGCAUACGAUCUACGGAUGAAAGCAGGGGACCGCAAGGCCUUGCGCGGACGGAGCGGCCGAUGGCAGAUUAGGUAGUUGGUGGGAUAAAAGCUUACCAAGCCGACGAUCUGUAGCUGGUCUGAGAGGACGACCAGCCACACUGGGACUGAGACACGGCCCAGACUCCUACGGGAGGCAGCAGUGGGGAAUUUUGGACAAUGGGCGCAAGCCUGAUCCAGCCAUGCCGCGUGCAGGAUGAAGGCCUUCGGUUGUAAACUGCUUUGUACGGACGAAAGACUCUUCUAAUAAAGAGGUACCAUGACGGUACCGUAAGAAUAAGCACCGGCUAACUACGUGCCAGCAGCCGGUAAGAGU
rnacentral:rRNA from 1 species